ACGGUGGGGUGCGGGGUCCUGAGCCCCUCUGCCUCGGUGGCCCGGCAGCGCGCAGACAGGCUUUGCUCCUGCAUCCGCGGCAGGGCGAGGGCCCCGCGCGUUUCCCCGUCGGGGUUCACAGCCGCGGGGCUCUGAAAUGAGGAGAGGCGGUGGCUUUUUCUUCGCGGAAGGCUGCGUUGAUUGAGGUGUUGCUGUCCGGCUGUUGCUGCUUUUUGGUCCCUUUCACCCAUUUGACUGUCAUUUGUAAGGCAACGAAAACUACAAAUAAAUAGCAGUAUGUGUGCUUCAUCACAUAAGCAUGGAUGAUCAGAUUAAGUCAAUAUUUGCAUGCACUGAGUGUUACCUCAGCCUUGGAAUGGAUGGCUUUGGCCAUCUGGUUGGUAUUCUUGGACACCCUGCCACAGCUUAUGGAUUUCGCCCUGAUGAACCUUACUACUAUGGUUAUGGGUCUCAGUAAAAUCAUCCCUUCCUCUGUUUACUCUCAGCUUAGAAGAAACCUUCAUGGAUUGGAUUAACUUUCACCUUGACCUAAUAACACAUGUCUAUCCUAUUAUGGCUCUGUGUUUCUUAUUCUUCCCUGUUGUUUCCUGAGAUUAACUCCAGCCUCCUCUGUCUUCUCUUGAGUGCAGUUGAUGCUAACACUGUUCGCUCUCCAACCACAUCUUAAAGCUGAAUAAAAUUUCCCC